rnacentral:rRNA from 1 species
AUCCAGACUCCUACGGGAGGCAGCAGUGAGGAAUAUUGGUCAAUGGGCGAGAGCCUGAACCAGCCAAGUCGCGUGAGGGAGUACUGCCCUAUGGGUUGUAAACCCCUUUUGUCGGGGAGCAAAAGCCGGACGUGUCCGGCUGUGAGAGUACCCGAAGAAAAAGCAUCGGCUAACUCCGUGCCAACAGCCGCGGUAAUACGGAGGAUGCGAGCGUUAUCCGGAUUUAUUGGGUUUAAAGGGUGCGCAGGCGGAUUUUUAAGUCAGCGGUCAAAUCGUGGGGCUCAACCCCAUCCAGCCGUUGAAACUGGGGAUCUAGAGUGUGCGAGAGGUAUGCGGAAUGCGUGGUGUAGCGGUGAAAUGCAUAGAUAUCGAGAGGAACACUCGUGGCGAAGGCGGGUUCCUGGACAUUAACUGACGCUGAGGCACGAAGGCCAGGGGAGCGAAAGGGAUUAGAUACCCCAGUA